rnacentral:rRNA from 1 species
ACGAUCCCUAGCUGGUCUGAGAGGAUGAUCAGCCACACUGGAACUAGACACGGUCCAGACUCCUACGGGAGGCAGCAGUGGGGAAUAUUGCACAAUGGGGGAAACCCUGAUGCAGCCAUGCCGCGUGUGUGAAGCCUUCGGGUUGUAAAGCACUUUCAGCGAGGAGAGAAAGGUCAGUGAUACCUAAUACGUAUCAGCUGUGACGUUACUCGCAGAAGAAGCCAGACCGGYUAACUYCGUGCCAGCAGCCGCCCGGUAAUACGGAGGGUGCAAGCGUUAAUCGGAAUUACUUGCGUAAAGCGCACGGCGGUUGGAUAAGUUAGAUGUGAAAGCCCCGGGCUCAACCUGGGAAUUGCAUUAUAAAACUGUCCAGCUAUCUUGUAGAGGGGGGUAGAAUUCCAGGUGUAGCGGUGAAAUGCGUAGAGAUCUGGAGGAAUACUCGGUGGCGAAGGCGGCCCCCGACAAAGACUGACGCUCAGGUGCAGCGAAAGCGUGGGGAGCAAACAGGAUUAGAUACCCUGGUAGUCCACGCCGUAAACGAUGUCGAUUUGGAGGCUGUGUCCUUGAGACGUGGCUUCCGGAGCUAACGCGUAAAUCGACCGCCUGGCAGGGAGUACGGCCCAAGGUUAAAACUCAAAUGAAUUGACGGGGCAGCGCACAAGCGGUGGAGCAUGUGGUUUAAUUCGAUGCAACGCGAAGAACCUUACCUGGCCUUGACAUGUCUGGAAUCCUGCAGAGAUGCGGGAGUGCCUUCGGGAAUCAGAACACAGGUGCUGCAUGGCUGUCGUCCAGCUCUCGUGAGAUUUGGGGAGUUAAGUCCCGCAACGAGCGCAACCCCUGUCCUUUGUUGCCAGCACGUAAUGGUGGGAACUCAAGGGAGACUGCCGGUGAUAAACCGGAGGAAGGUGGGGAUGACGUCAAGUCAUCAUGGCCCUUACGGCCAGGGCUACACACGUGCUACAUGGCGCGUACAGAGGGCUGCAAGCUAGCGAUAGUGAGCGAGGAAUCCCAAAAAGCGCGUCGUCAGAGAGGUCCGGAUCGGAGUCUGCAACUCGACUCCGUGAAGUCGGAAUCGCUAGUAAUGCAAAUCAGAAUGUUGCGGUGAAUACGCCCGGGCCUUGUACACACCGCCCGUCACACCAAAUGGGUGGGUUGCACCAGAAGUAGAUAGCUUAACCUUCGCGACGGCGUUUACCAC